GAUGAACGCUGGCGGCGUGCCUAAUACAUGCAAGUCGAGCGAACGGACGAGAAGCUUGCCUCUCUGAUGUUAGCGGCGGACGGGUGAGUAACACGUGGAUAACCUACCUAUAAGACUGGGAUAACUUCGGGAAACCGGAGCUAAUACCGGAUAAUAUUUUGAACCGCAUGGUUCAAAAGUGAAAGACGGUCUUGCUUUCACUUAUAGAUGGAUCCGCGUUGCAUUAGCUAGUUGGUAAGGUAACGGCUAACCAAGGCAACGAUGCAUAGCCGACCUGGGAGGGGGAUCGGCCACACUGGAACUGGGACACGGUCCAGACUCCUACGGGAGGCAGCAGUAGGGAAUCUUCCGCAAUGGGCGAAAGCCUGACGGAGCAACGCCGCGUGAGUGAUGAAGGUCUUCGGAUCGUAAAACUCUGUGAUUAGGGAAGAACAUAUGUGUAAGUAACUGUGCACAUCUUGACGGUACCUAAUCAGAAAGCCACGGCUAACUACGUG
rnacentral:rRNA from 1 species